rnacentral:ncRNA from 1 species
GUAAACGCGAUGAAAAAGAAAGUAAAAUCAAGGUAAUUGUCUUGCAGAGAGUUCCGGCAGCUGAGAAGGAACGACAAUGAAUGAUUUGAACAUGACUUUGGAGCGGAUUUUCUGACUUAAAUGAGGAAAAUACGGCAGCCCCGUUAACAAGCACCAGUCUCCGAACGCUGUGUCGGGUACUGAUAGAGGUAGAAUGACGUCAUUCUACAAUGUAAGGUGGUACCGCAGUCCAAUGCCCUUAGU